GGUUGACUUACACACCCUGUGCUCUUCCUGGUGGUCGCGGGGGAGAGGGACCCUAAAGCCAGCCUAAUGCCCUGUGGCCAGGGCAGCAGUAGGGCCGAGGCUGGGGAGAAGUCACCACUUCAGGGGAGAUUCUGGAAGGCGUGGGAGGCAGUGAGGUGGGUUGGCCAGCAGAGCAGGUGUGAGUCUGCUGAGCUCCAGGCUGGAGACACCUGCGCAGGGGUGGAGCAUGGGUGGUCCUCCUUGAUGGUGGCGGAGAGGGUGGGAGGAGGGAGCAUGAGCUACACACACACACACCUGCAUGCACACCCCACAUGCACACGCCUUACAUGCACUACACUCAUGCACACCCCAGACACUAUACACACGGCACACGCAUGCACACCCCACGCACUACACACCCAUGCACGUGCACACACCACAGAGGGAAACACACACCCCACCCACAUACACAUCCUGCACACACGAGCAUGUGCACACGUACACACACGCGCUCAGUCUCUGAGGACCGCGGACUGUGCCACCGUCACAGCUCACUCACUCAGCGGUAUGCCCACCAGCAAGGGCUUCUCAGAGCCUGCCGUACGCCAGCUUUAUGCAGAGAGAUUUUGGAGAUUCCAAAAUAAGCCAAAACUCGAACACCUUCCCCUUGGGAAAACAAAACAAAACCCAGCAGAACUGAGUCUAGCAGGAGAGAAACCCAGAGUUGCUCAAUCCACGCUUCUCGGCGCUGGAAAAGCUUGGGCUGCAGGAGAGAGCAGAUCUUGGAGGGCUUCUAUGAGGCAGUGCGGCCUGGCCGAGCCUGUGGGAGGAGGCGCAGAGGCCAGAGUGCAGCCGGCACAGGGUACAGGGUAUAGGACCCGCGGGCCCGGGUAUGGCUGGGCUGGACCCCAGGGGAGCGCCACAGGCUGGGGAUGGUGGCCUGCACGCGGGGCCGAGGCCUGGGCAGCAGCUGUGUCCACAGCCAGGGACCAGGGAGCAGGAAGGCUGGGAAGGCCCCGCCGCUGCACCUCUGGCGGGGAGGGCAGCUCCCUGCGCCACCCCGGGGCCCUGGCCCUCCCAGCGGGCACUGUUGGCCGGGCGACCAGGCCAUCAUCCUGUCCCCAGCGGCCAGCCCUGGUGUCUCGGAGGGAGGGGCCCCUGAACGGUCGC
rnacentral:lncRNA from 1 species